rnacentral:rRNA from 1 species
UACGUAGGGACCAAGCGUUGUUCGGAGUUACUGGGCGUAAAGGGCGCGUAGGCGGCUUGGUAAGUCACUUGUGAAAUCUCUGAGCUUAACUCAGAACGGUCAAGUGAUACUGCUGUGCUAGAGUGCGGAAGGGGCAAUCGGAAUUCUUGGUGUAGCGGUGAAAUGCGUAGAUAUCAAGAGGAACACCUGAGGUGAAGACGGGUUGCUGGGCCGACACUGACGCUGAUGCGCGAAAGCCAGGGGAGCAAACGGG